rnacentral:lncRNA from 1 species
UAGCAGUCUGGGCCUUUACCUCCUGUGUAAAUAUUACCAAGUAAGAAAAAAGGUUGUAAUUUGCAAGCAGUAGCUAUUUCAGCAGAGGACAAAAAUCCAGGUGUUAUUUUAGGAACUGAUCUGCUUUAUUCCUGUGUUCUUGGAGAUAUCUGUGAAGGGCAGUCAAGAAUUUAACUAUGGACAAGGAGGACUGAGUUAUAAACAGCACUUCAGCAUUGAACUGUGCAGAUUCACACCAGAUCUGGCUGUCUUCCCAGGCUGCUGCAGACUGGAAUUAAAAAUAAAUGCUGUGGAAAGUAACAUGAAACGUGGUGGUUUGGGACAACUGCUGUACAACAGGAUAAGCCUAUAUUUGUAUCAAACUAAAAAGAGAUGA